GCUGGUGGAUGAAGUGAACACAACAGCCGCUGUAUCUUCUGGCCUUCAACAAGGUGCAUGACGUGACCUCUUCAGUGUGCUUAUCACUGUCGAGUCAGAGAGAUACAGUCUCAGUGUAAAAAUCCGUGCUUUAGGAUUCAACGAACUCUUGGAAAGCAUUUUCUGCAUCCUGCUGGUUGUGGAAGCGUUUUACCUGUGAAAAGUUGUCAAGAUACUUGAAGAAGGGGUAACCUGUUGGCAAGACAUCAGACCCCAGAGUUGUGUGAAGAGAAGCACAAAGUCUGAGAGUGGGUCAUUGAGAUUGAUGGUAAGUGGGGUCAUUGGGGUUCCUUCUGCUUCCACCCUCUAAUUUCACAAACCAAUUUUUUUUUUUUUUGAAUUGGUGAUAAAACACCACAUAAAUGUCUCUGCGCCAGUGCAUACAGUGCAUCCUGAAAGAUAGUUUCCAUCCUUGCAGGCUAUUGUCUCCAAGUUGGUGAUUCAGCUGUAUCUUCAACAGGACAUUGCAUCCCCUCCACAGGAAGUUUUUGGGUGGGGUGGUGUCUGAUAAGACUACACGGUCCAUUCUUGUGCCUUCUUCACUGCAAACUGAAUGCCUUGGUUGAAUGUUGUAUGGGAUUCCAACCUUGUGGAUCAGACAUGCCAUAAGCUCUGGAUAGUGAUGCUGGCGGAUACCCUUGAGGGCAGGAAGGCAUAUCCAGAAUAGAUGACUAUUCCUGUGAAAAUGAACCACAAACUCUUCAAGGAUGAAAGAGUCCCAACCUAGUCAACCUUCACCAAAUUACCAGUUGCUCUCCUUAACAAAUUGUUCAUACUAAAGGUUCAGAGAUGGGAAUGUCAGACCACCUUACCUGUCUCCUGAGAAACCAGUAUGUAGGUCAAGAAGCAAUAGUCAG